UUGGUUAAUUUUUUGUGAUCUUUUUUGGUUUCUUUGUGGUGUGCAGGGACCCAUUGAUGGGUAUUUAAUAUCGAAUCGUACAUACAGAGUUGCAGCAACAAAAAGGCCACUCCUUUUUAUUGGAACCGGUGAACAUAUGGAUGAAUUUGAACUAAUUGAGAUUAUGUGCAGCGAUUUAAUUUGGGAUUUUGUUUGUUGGGUAGAUAUUUAGGUCUACAUAGUUAAAAAGACCCCAAAGGAGGUAAUUCUAAUUUGCGCAAUUUAAGCGUUUAUUAAUUAAAGUUCCCUAUACAUUCUUCUAUUUCGUGCUGAUCAUGAUGGGUGUUUUAACGGAGCCAGGUGCUUGAUUUGAUUAAUCGUGGGGGGAACUUCAUCGUGGUCCAAGUCUUAGCCGACUUACAAAGGUACAUUAUUUGGCGUAUUUGACCCUCUUGACCGUUAGCUUUUUGCACCCGCUGAAGAAGAAUCUUGGGAAUGGCAGCGGUGUUAUUAAACUUGUUUGACACAUUUCCCAUUUAGCUAUAAAGAAUCUGAUAUACACAUGUAUCUCUAUGUUGUAGGUUUUACACCAACAGAGAAGCUUUUGGAUUUGUUUCAUGGAAAAUUGGGACUAAAUGUUGACCCUAUAUUCGAUAAACUAGGCUACUAAGAUUUCAAGCU